rnacentral:rRNA from 1 species
AUUGAACGCUGGCGGCAUGCCUUACACAUGCAAGUCGAACGGCAGCACGGGUGCUUGCACCUGGUGGCGAGUGGCGAACGGGUGAGUAAUACAUCGGAACAUGUCCUGUAGUGGGGGAUGGCCCGGCGAAAGCCGGAUUAAUACCGCAUACGAUCCACGGAUGAAAGCGGGGGACCUUCGGGCCUCGCGCUAUAGGGUUGGCCGAUGGCUGAUUAGCUAGUUGGUGGGGUAAAGGCCUACCAAGGCGACGAUCAGUAGCUGGUCUGAGAGGACGACCAGCCACACUGGGACUGAGACACGGCCCAGACUCCUACGGGAGGCAGCAGUGGGGAAUUUUGGACAAUGGGCGAAAGCCUGAUCCAGCAAUGCCGCGUGUGUGAAGAAGGCCUUCGGGCUGUAAAGCACUUUUGUCCGGAAAGAAAUCCUUGACUCUAAUACAGUCGGGGGAUGACGGUACCGGAAGAAUAAGCACCGGCUAACUACGUG